CAUCCACUUGAUACCGUAAACUAUUAUAGAUUAGCCAAGAGAGGGUGGCCAAAUUGUGGUCCGUGUUUACUUUGCAAGAGGGUGCAAGAAAGCGGGUCACACCUAUUCUUUAAGUGCCGCUACACUCUAAGGCUGUGGGCCUUGGUCAUUGAAAAAUUUCACAUCUUCAAGUUGGACACCUCUUCGUGGCACUUGAUGGACUCCGUCGACGCUUGGUGGGCAAGCACUUGUGACGCCGGCACGCCAAACCGACAAGCCAAAGCCUCCCUCACCAUGCUUGUGUGGUGGACAAUUUGGAAUGACCGAAAUGCAAGUGUCUAG
rnacentral:rRNA from 1 species